UCCAAGGGGAGCCAAACAUGGCUGAGAGUGGACAGUGUCCUUACCCUUCGAACCUGUUAGUUAAUACUAGCGUAGGAAUGGUGGCUUU
rnacentral:ncRNA from 1 species